rnacentral:rRNA from 1 species
GACGAACGCUGGCGGCGCGCCUAACACAUGCAAGUCGAACGAGCGAGAGAGAGCUUGCUUUCUCGAGCGAGUGGCGAACGGGUGAGUAACGCGUGAGGAACCUGCCUCAAAGAGGGGGACAACAGUUGGAAACGACUGCUAAUACCGCAUAAGCCCACGGUGCCGCAUGGCACAGAGGGAAAAGGAGCAAUCCGCUUUGAGAUGGCCUCGCGUCCGAUUAGCUAGUUGGUGAGGUAAUGGCCCACCAAGGUGACGAUCGGUAGCCGGACUGAGAGGUUGAACGGCCACAUUGGGACUGAGACACGGCCCAGACUCCUACGGGAGGCAGCAGUGGGGAAUAUUGCACAAUGGGGGAAACCCUGAUGCAGCGACGCCGCGUGGAGGAAGAAGGUCUUCGGAUUGUAAACUCCUGUUGUUGGGGAAGAUAAUGACGGUACCCAACAAGGAAGUGACGGCUAACUACGUG